AAGAGCAUUCCAAAAUGUUUUACUCUGUUGUUCUUAACCCCAUAAGCCUGCAUCAUUACCUUUUCAAAUAUUCAAAAUGCUUUUUGAAAGUGGCUGUUGCAUCCAUUUCCACUAUCCUAUCAGGCAGUACAUUCCAGGAUAAAAGCUCAACGUUUAAAGAAAGUUCCUUCUCAUCUCCAAUCUGGUUUAUUUCCCAAACAUGUGUGUCCUUUGGUUACCCAUCUUCUGUCCUGUUUUAAAAAAAAAACUCCUUGCUUAUUCUCUUGAACCCUUUCAUUUUGAACACUCCCAGUAAAUCUUCCCUUAAAAUUCCCUUCUCUAAUACGAACAAGUCCGGUCUCUCAAUGUAACUGAAGUUCUUCAUUUCAGGUAACAUUCAAGUAAAUCUCCUCUACUCCAGUCAACUGUGCAAUAUUUGUUUGAGAGCUGGAAAUAAUGACACAAUAACUGUGUAUACCAUCUUCAUACAGUUUGGAAUCCUCCAGUCAGUUUCAAGUCAGGACAUUGAGAGAAAUUACCAGAUGAACCCUCAAGGUUCCAUGAAGUUAUCUACUGGACAGUUCCAGUACACUUUGGAUUUCUCAGCAAUGACACAGACCAAUUUGACAACCAGGAAAGUCAGACAAGUGCGUCGUCUUUGAAGGCAGACCAGAUGAGAAAGGAAGCCGUGGACUAAAAGCUGGACUCUCAUGCAUAUGGUGUGUUCCAACAGCACUCAGUGAACUUUGCAGCAGUUAGCCUCUAAUAAGACAUACAGUCAACACCCUGUUGAUUUCAGAGCAACAAAUGCAGGGUUGGACAUACAAGUACUUUAUGAAUUUUUUGACAGCCACCCUCUAGUUUACAACCUUCCCCAUUUCAGUAGCAGACGGGUUGUGGUAUUUCACUGAAUGGAGGUAACACUGCCCUGUGAGGAUCUGUUUAUUGAACAGACAGGAAGUGCCAAGGAAGUCUCCGUGGUGUUUAUCAGUCUUGAUUUAGCUAUCAAACUACAAUAUAUGGAAAGCCCCCCCUACCUUUGUAACGGGAACCAGAGAUGCCAAUGAAUAUCACUGAUAUUGACAAACCAAGAAUAUUUUUCUUUAAAUGCAGAUCUGGUGCAGUGCAGGAGUUAAUCCUGUUCCAAACAAUGUAUAAUAGUAUAAGCUCAAUUCAUUGUUGAAUUUUUUAUGUUAAAUGGGAAAAGACAUGAUUUUAGUUUCCUUGUGAAUUGUUGUUUUUGUUGCAAGGAGGUCUGGAGACCUGUUUGGAGUCGUGCAUUUUUAAUAAGGUGUUUAACCUUGAAUUGAAGAGAUUGGGUUUGGUGGGUUAGUGCACUUUAAAAACGUGGGGAAAAAAACUGCUGGUACCUCAUAACAAGGAUCCAGUGACAGACAGAUACAAAAAAGACACAAGUUGGUUAGUCAGUGAAAACCAAAAGAACUGCAGAUGUUGUAAAUUCGAAACAAAAACAAAAGUUGCUGGAAAUGCUCAUCAGGCCUGGCAGAAUCUGUGAAGAAAAGAUCAGAGUUAAUGUUUUGGGUCCAGUGACCCUUCCUCAGAACUUCUGAGGAAGAGUCACUGGACCCGAAAUGUUAACUCUGAUAUUUUAGUUAAUCAGUGCAUGGAUUUACCAGGAGUGGAAGCAGGAGGGUUAAACUCUGCAGCAAAUUUGAGAUUAGGGUAAAUCACAUGUUCACCGUAAAGUUGAAGUAAUGGUCAGUUUGAUUUGACGUUUGUUUUAGGUGUUUCAGGGAGAUCUACCAGGUAAAGUAUCUUGAAGACUUUUUUAAAAAAUUAACCUAUUUAGACAUGUUAUUGCUACACCUUCAUAACUGAUGGGACUUGAACACAGACCUUCUGGUCCAGAGGAAGGGACAUUACCACUGCAUCAUAUGACCCCCUGGAGUAGUGAGUAAAUGUGUAGGAAUUCAAUGGAAGGGAAACAAACUGCAGCCUUAAUGUGGGAUUAGCAGUGAAUUUACCCUGGUGUUUGGUGUUUGUAAGGAUACUGCAGAGAUAAAAGGAAUAGUGAGUUGAAAUUCUUGUACUGGUGUUCAUGCCAAAUUCUCUCAAUUUUUUGUCAAGUGAAAAAUAGUUAUGUUUAAGCUCUUGUUUAAUAAAUGUUUUAUUCUACUUUAAAUGUACACCUACAAACUAUUGUAAAUGUGUUCUGUAACUAGCCUCCUGGGUUUUGAAAAACAAAGUUGAGUCUAACUAGCCACGUUUAACUCUGGGAUCAGAUUUGUCCAGAAUUAACAUCAACGGACCUGUAACAAUCCUCGUGACAUUUUCAAAAGUUGUAUGCUUUCCAGUUGAACAAAACAAAAAUCAACCAGUUUCUCAAAGUGGAAAAAGAAAUAUCAAGAAAAAUAAUACUGGCAAUGUUUCCCAAAUUGAAUGAGCAAUUUGCAACAGAACAUAAAUCAUUUUGGAGAGAUAGGAUAAAACUGCUAAAUAAACCAAGAACCUGAA